rfam:Streptomyces lincolnensis strain NRRL 2936, complete genome.
CACAUGUAUGCUCAUGCUCGCUGUCGCCGCAGGGGAAUCCGGUGUGAAUCCGGAACUGUCCCGCAACGGUGUACUCAUGCGUGCAUAUGCGCACAUGAGCGUCAGUCCGAGGACCUGCCGACAGCACGCCCGGCCG